UACAGAGGUCUCAAGCGUUGUUCGGAUUCAUUGGGCGUAAAGGGUGCGUAGGCGGCGCGGUAAGUCGGGUGUGAAAUCUCGGAGCUUAACUCCGAAACUGCAUUCGAUACUGCUGUGCUUGAGGACUGGAGAGGAGACUGGAAUUUACGGUGUAGCGGUGAAAUGCGUAGAUAUCGUAAGGAAGACCAGUGGCGAAGGCGGGUCUCUGGACAGUUCCUGACGCUGAGGCACGAAGGUCAGGGGAGCAAACGGG
rnacentral:rRNA from 1 species